AUUGAACGCUGGCGGCAUGCCUUACACAUGCAAGUCGAACGGUAACGCGGGGCAACCUGGCGACGAGUGGCGAACGGGUGAGUAAAGUAUCGGAACGUGCCCAAUAGUGGGGGAUAGCCCGGCGAAAGCCGGAUUAAUACCGCAUGAGACCUGAGGGUGAAAGCGGGGGACGUCGCAAGAGCCUCGCGCUGUUGGAGCGGCCGAUGUCGGAUUAGCUAGUUGGUGAGGUAAAGGCUCACCAAGGCGACGAUCCGUAGCGGGUCUGAGAGGAUGAUCCGCCACACUGGGACUGAGACACGGCCCAGACUCCUACGGGAGGCAGCAGUGGGGGAAUUUUGGACAAUGGGCGCAAGCCUGAUCCAGCCAUGCCGCGUGC
rnacentral:rRNA from 1 species